rnacentral:rRNA from 1 species
UACGAAGGGUGCAAGCGUUAAUCGGAAUUACUGGGCGUAAAGCGUGCGUAGGUGGCCUGUUAAGUUUGUUGUGAAAGCCCCGGGCUUAACCUGGGAACGGCAACGAAAACUGGUGGGCUAGAGUCGGUUAGAGGGUAGUGGAAUUCCCGGUGUAGCGGUGAAAUGCGUAGAGAUCGGGAGGAACAUCAGUUGCGAAGGCGGCUACCUGGAACCAGACUGACACUGAGGCACGAAAGCGUGGGGAGCAAACAGG